rnacentral:rRNA from 1 species
UACGUAGGGUGCAAGCGUUAAUCGGAAUUACUUGGCGUAAAGCGUGCGCAGGCGGUUUUGUAAGUCUGACGUGAAAUCCCCGGGCUCAACCUGGGAAUUGCGUUGGAGACUGCAAGGCUAGAAGCUGGCAGAGGGGGGUAGAAUUCCACGUGUAGCAGUGAAAUGCGUAGAGAUGUGGAGGAACACCGAUGGCGAAGGCAGCCCCCUGGGUCAAGAUUGACGCUCAUGCACGAAAGCGUGGGGAGCAAACAGG